rnacentral:misc_RNA from 1 species
UACGAACUGUGCAAGCGUUAUCCGGAUUUACUGGGCGCAAAGCGCGUGCAGGUGGUUUACUAAGUUGGGUGUUAAAGCUUCCGGCUCAACCGGGAGUUGUCGCUCAAAACUAGCAGACUAGAGGAUGGUAGAGGGAGGUGGAACUCCGGGUGUAGUGGUGAAAUGCGUAGAUAUCCGGAGGAACACCAGUGGCGAAGGCGGCCUCCUGGCCCAUUCCUGACACUCAGACGCGAAAGCUAGGGUAGCAAACGGG